ACCAUGCACCGAAGCUGCGGCAGCGACACUGUGUGUUGUUGGGUAGGGGAGCGUUCUGUAAGCCUGUGAAGGUGUGUCGUGAGGCAUGCUGGAGGUAUCAGAAGUGCGAAUGCUGACAUAAGUAACGAUAAAGCGGGUGAAAAGCCCGCUCGCCGGAAGACCAAGGGUUCCUGUCCAACGUUAAUCGGGGCAGGGUGAGUCGACCCCUAAGGCGAGGCCGAAAGGCGUAGUCGAUGGGAAACGGGUUAAUAUUCCCGUACUUGGUGUUACUGCGAAGGGGGGACGGAGAAGGCUAUGUUGGCCGGGCGACGGUUGUCCCGGUUUAAGUGUGUAGGUGUGUGUUCCAGGUAAAUCCGGUUCACUUUAACACUGAGGCGUGACGACGAGGCACUACGGUGCUGAAGCAACAAAUGCCCUGCUUCCAGGAAAAGCCUCUAAGCAUCAGGUAACAUCAAAUCGUACCCCAAACCGACACAGGUGGUCAGGUAGAGAAUACCAAGGCGCUUGAGAGAACUCGGGUGAAGGAACUAGGCAAAAUGGUGCCGUAACUUCGGGAGAAGGCACGCUGACACGUAGGUGAAGUGAUUUACUCAUGGAGCUGAAGUCAGUCGAAGAUACCAGCUGGCUGCAACUGUUUAUUAAAAACACAGCACUGUGCAAACACGAAAGUGGACGUAUACGGUGUGACGCCUGCCCGGUGCCGGAAGGUUAAUUGAUGGGGUCAGCGCAAGCGAAGCUCCUGAUCGAAGCCCCGGUAAACGGCGGCCGUAACUAUAACGGUCCUAAGGUAGCGAAAUUCCUUGUCGGGUAAGUUCCGACCUGCACGAAUGGCGUAAUGAUGGCCAGGCUGUCUCCACCCGAGACUCAGUGAAAUUGAACUCGCUGUGAAGAUGCAGUGUACCCGCGGCAAGACGGAAAGACCCCGUGAACCUUUACUAUAGCUUGACACUGAACAUUGAGCCUUGAUGUGUAGGAUAGGUGGGAGGCUUUGAAGUGUGGACGCCAGUCUGCAUGGAGCCGACCUUGAAAUACCACCCUUUAAUGUUUGAUGUUCUAACGUGGACCCGUUACCCGGGUUGCGGACAGUGUCUGGUGGGUAGUUUGACUGGGGCGGUCUCCUCCUAAAGAGUAACGGAGGAGCACGAAGGUUGGCUAAUCCUGGUCGGACAUCAGGAGGUUAGUGCAAUGGCAUAAGCCAGCUUGACUGCGAGCGUGACGGCGCGAGCAGGUGCGAAAGCAGGUCAUAGUGAUCC
rnacentral:rRNA from 1 species